rnacentral:rRNA from 1 species
CCUACGGGGGGCAGCAGUGGGGAAUAUUGGACAAUGGGGGCAACCCUGAUCCAGCCAUGCCGCGUGUGUGAAGAAGGCCCUCGGGUUGUAAAGCACUUUCAGUGAGGAAGAACGCCUAGUGGUUAAUACCCAUCAGGAAAGACAUCACUCACAGAAGAAGCACCGGCUAACUCCGUGCCAGCAGCCGCGGUAAUACGGAGGGUGCGAGCGUUAAUCGGAAUUACUGGGCGUAAAGCGCGCGUAGGUGGCUUGAUAAGCCGGUUGUGAAAGCCCCGGGCUCAACCUGGGAACGGCAUCCGGAACUGUCAAGCUAGAGUGCAGGAGAGGAAGGUAGAAUUCCCGGUGUAGCGGUGAAAUGCGUAGAGAUCGGGAGGAAUACCAGUGGCGAAGGCGGCCUUCUGGACUGACACUGACACUGAGGUGCGAAAGCGUGGGUAGCAAACAGGAUUAGAUACCCGAGUAGUC